GCCAAUUGGAUCGAUGUUUACAUGAUGCUAGAAAGGAAUUGGCGCCUGAGCGCUCCUGAUUGAGCGCCUGAGCGCCAAUUACCUCCUGAGAGCUUGUUUUUGCUUGGAAUUGGCGCUCAGGCGUGCUUAAUUGGCGCCUGAGCGCCCAGACUCGACCUGUUUGCCUAUAAAUAGGAUUUUUGUCAUUUCUUUUGUAAUUUUUGUCAUUUCUAUACAUUCCUAAAUAAGUUAGAAGUAGGGUUAGGCUCUGGAGCUUGAGGAGAAGCAUUCUCCAAGUCCAUGUUCCAGGUUUUAUCCUUCUUUUCUUGUAUGGAUUCCAU
rnacentral:lncRNA from 1 species